rnacentral:rRNA from 1 species
AGAUUGAACGCUGGCGGCAUGCCUAACACAUGCAAGUCGAACGGGAGUAGCAAUACUCUAGUGGCGGACGGGUGAGGAAUACGUAGGAAUUUGCCCUUAAGUGGGGGAUAACCCGGGGAAACCCGGAUUAAUACCGCAUGACCUCGAAAGAGCAAAGUGGGGGAUCGCAAGACCUCACGCUUUUGGAGAAGCCUACGUCGGAUUAGCUAGUUGGUGAGGUAAUGGCUCACCAAGGCGACGAUCCGUAACUGGUCUGAGAGGAUGAUCAGUCACACCGGAACUGAGACACGGUCCGGACUCCUACGGGAGGCAGCAGUGGGGAAUAUUGGACAAUGGGCGCAAGCCUGAUCCAGCAAUGCCGCGUGUGUGAAGAAGGCCUUGGUUGUAAGUACUACUUAAGUUAGGAAGAAAAAACGUACGACGUACUAACAACAGUAGAGUCUUGACGGUACGAACGAAGAAUAAGACACGACUAACUCUAGG